rnacentral:rRNA from 1 species
CAUCGUCGCUAUUGACCGAACUGCGGGCUCUGCCAACUUUGCAAGCGGGAACCAGAAUCUAUUGAUCACUUGCUUUUCAAGUGUAGAUACACCAUCAAGAUUUGGUCAGCAGCCAUAAACUGGUUAGGUUUAAACGAGAUCCAAAUCCACCUCUAGGUUGACGCUAACAAUGUCCCUGAUUGGUGGAUUAAUCUUGUGUGCACGUUCGAUAGGAGACGCGAAGGCCUUUCCAUCGUCAUGUUAAUCUCCUGGCAAGUUUGGAAUGAACGAAAUGCGAGGGUCUUUAGGCAUACUGAGACCCCUCCUCUGGCCAUCUUCUCAAGGAUCAAAGAAGAAUCAAAAUCUUGGACAAUUGCGGGCGUCAAGCAUUUGAGUAAAUUAAUGCUGGGAGAGUAG